CCUACGGGUGGCAGCAGUGGGGAAUAUUGCACAAUGGGGGAAACCCUGAUGCAGCGACGCCGCGUGAGCGAUGAAAUAUUUCGGUAUGUAAAGCUCUAUCGGCAGGGAAGAAGGAGGACGGUACCUGACUAAGAAGCCCCGGCUAACUACGUGCCAGCAGCCGCGGUAAUACGUAGGGGGCAAGCGUUAUCCGGAUUUACUGGGUGUAAAGGGGGCGCAGACGGCAGCGCAAGCCAGGAGUGAAAGCCCGGGGCCCAACCCCGGGACUGCUCUUGGAACUGCGCGGCUGGAGUGCAGGAGGGGCAGGCGGAAUUCCUGGGGUAGCGGUGAAAUGCGUGGAUAUCAGGAGGAACACCGGUGGCGAAGGCGGCCUGCUGGACUGCGACUGACGUUGAGGCCCGAAAGCGUGGGGAGCAAACAGGAUUAGAUACCCCUGUAGUC
rnacentral:rRNA from 1 species